UGCAGCGUUCCUGUCGGAAGUUCAUCCAUGGCUCCUAGACAGAUGUAGGCCUUGCUUGGAGCAACUUUGCAUGCACAAAAAGCGUGGAACUCGCUCUUGGUGAGUGAGGACUGGUUACUUGGCAUUAUUGAAAGUACUAUUGUAUUCAGGAUUGUAGCGUGUAUCUCGGUCAAGCUUGAAGGCAUCAAAUGUGUGCAUGGUAAUUCUUCACAGAUUUAACUUGCGAUGACACUACUGCUCCAGACGUCUUCAAUUGCUAACCCCAUUAAA